UCAUGAUGAUGAUGAUGAUGAUGAUGAUGAUGAUGAUGAUGACGAUCAUCAUCAUCGUUAUGAUCAUCAGCAGCAAAA
rnacentral:pre_miRNA from 1 species